AACGAACGCUGGCGGCAGGCCUAACACAUGCAAGUCGAGCGCCCUUUCGGGGGAGCGGCGGACGGGUGAGUAACGCGUGGGAAUAUGCCCUUCUCUACGGAAUAGCCUCGGGAAACUGAGAGUAAUACCGUAUACGCCCUGUGGGGGAAAGAUUUAUCGGGGAAGGAUUAGCCCGCGUUGGAUUAGGUAGUUGGUGGGGUAAUGGCCUACCAAGCCGACGAUCCAUAGCUGGUUUGAGAGGAUGAUCAGCCACACUGGGACUGAGACACGGCCCAGACUCCUACGGGAGGCAGCAGUGGGGAAUCUGAGACAAUGGGGGCAACCCUGAUCUAGCCAUGCCGCGGGAGUGAUGAAGGCCUUAGGGUUGUAAAGCUCUUUCAGCUGGGAAGAUAAUGACGGUACCAGCAGAAGAAGCCCCGGCUAACUCCGU
rnacentral:rRNA from 1 species